CCAACACCUAGAGACAUCACCGGUGUGACUCCUGUGUAACAUGUGUAUCAGUUGGUGGCAGAAAAGAGAAAGGCUAUGUCUGUGCUCAGUACUCUGACCUCUCAACAUCUGAGUGAUUAGUAGCCUAACAUG